GACACGGCACGGCACGGCACGAGGCAGGAUUUAGCAAGCGAGCGGCCCGCGCGCAGCCCCGCCGAAAAUAGCCGCCCCUCCUCAGAUCCAGGGCGCGGUCCCUCCCUCCCCCCUCCGCCUGAAAUCAAGCCCCCGUCGCCCUAUCCGCGGCACGGCCACGCUCGCUUGCCUGCCUGCCUGCUUCCCCCCCAAUCCCUCUCUUCCUCUCCUCGCAGAGGGAAGAAGAAGAAGAAGCCCGAUUGGUCACCCCUCUCCCCGAAUGGGAGGCUGGUCGACCCCGCGCCAAUAAGCAGCACCUCGGCGGGUGGGUGGGUGGCCGGGGGGAUUGGUUCGCUCGCCCCGCUCCUUCCUUCGAUCCAGCCGAUCGAUCCCAGUCGAAUCCAAUCCAAUCCAAUCCAAUAAUUUAUUCUGCUUCUCCUCGCCGGCCGCCGUCCGCCGUCUUCGCUUCGCCUGGACCUCCCACCCGGUUGGUUGGAUUUUAGAAAGUUUCUCCCGUUCGUUCCAUCCUUCUGGUGAGUACCUUACCGCUCGGUUGCUUCUCUCCCCCCCUUCCGUGUUCCUUCUCUGUUUCUCUGCCCCGUCUUACGAUGGUUGUUUCUCCUGGCAGUUUCGAUUUGGGAUCUUUAGUUCAUCGGCUGCCCGGCGGUUUCUUCAGCCCCAUUUGAUUUCACUUAGGUUUGAUUUGAUUUGAUGACGCCUCUUCUGAUUCCUUUGCUCUAGAGUAGUAAUUUGCAAGAGAAGAAAAAAAAGAUUAUUUCGUGGUCGCGCUGAGGAUAAUGGCGUAGCGGUUGGAUACAAGGAAGGCCGUAACUUGCAAGGCUGGCAUGCCACCCAUGCUUUGUCUCUAACUAAUGACUGCGACUGAUUGUGAUUUGCCAGGCUAAACAUCUCUGUUCAAUUCAUUCAUGGGACGUAUCAUGCCCGCUAGUUUGAUUUGAUGAGUACCAGAGUGCCAGUUGCUUUCAGAAUCUUCUUUUUUCUUGAAGCUUUUCUUCUUUUGACCGUUUUAGUGACCCGUCGUUCUUGUCCGGCUGCUCAUACACUGCAGAUAGAUGGCAGGAUGGGAAAGUGGCAACUGGCAAGCAUCAUGCUUGGAUAAUUCGGGAUGGGUCGAUAUAGUAGGAGAUAAUUCGAUGCGCAUUGACCGGAUGUGGCAUCUACUAAAGCACUGCAUUUUCUUGCGCAGGUCCAUUCAGUACUCAGCAUAUCCGUUUGCCUCCGAUCGAGCAAGAAUAUAUACGCAGCCGCCGGCUCGUGCCAGACAUGGAGCACGCGAUGCCGACGAUGGCCGCGGAGUCCGAGGGCGCGACCACCGACGACGACGUGCACCUCUCCCCGACCAGCGUCAGCAGCGGUGGUGGAGGAGGAGGAGGAGGAGGCCCCCCCAGCGUCCGCUUCAAGAUACUCUGCAGCUUCGGCGGCCGCAUCAUGCCCCGCCCGUCCGACGGCGCGCUCAAGUACAUUGGCGGCGACACCCGCGUCCUCGCCGUGCCCCGCUCCAUCCGCUUCCGCGAUUUGAAGAAGAAGGUGGAGGAGAUGUUCAAGACGGAUGUGGCGGCCAUCAAGUACCAGCUGCUCUCCUCCGACGACCUCGACGUGCUCGUGUCCGUCACCUGCGACGAGGACCUGGCCCACAUGCUCGACGAGUACGACCGGUUCGAGGCGAAGCGGUCGCCGUCCGCGUCGCCCCGUUUCCGCGUCUACGUCUUCGUGCCGCAUCAGGUCUCCGCCUCGUCGGCCGCCGCCGCCGUCGCCGCCCCCGUCUCCUCUUCGCGCCACGUCAGCUACGCCCGCAACCAGCCGCACUACCAUCCCCACCACCACCACCUCCAGCCGGAGCGGGAGCGCUACGUGGCCUCGGUGCCCGGCACGCCUGACGGAAGCCCGCCGUACCCGGACCAGCCCAACGGUGUCGCCUCGGCGGGGAACUCCCCGCGCGCCAACAUCGUGGAGCAGGCCGUGUUCCGCGGGGGGAUGCAGCGCGUCCGGAGCUCGCCCAACCUCGGCGGCCUGAACGCGGCACCGCUACCCUUCCAUGACCACGCCGGGGACAGCCCCGGAGGCCUGGCUGGAUACAUGAGCGGCUCGCCAGUGCACCCGGGCGCCGGCCACAUGUUCUCGCAGGGCAGCUACAACCCCUACCGCAGCCCGCAGCCGCAGUACUCUCCAGCGCCCGUGCCCGUGCCGCACCACGCCGGCGUGGCCGGGAGGUACGACUCGCGCGGCGGUUACGCGCGGGGCGGCAGCUACAAGGCGGCGCCGCUGGCGCCAGCGCUCCGGUCUGGUCGGCCGGUCAGCAGGAGCGGCGGGGCGCCGUACAGCGAGAUGCAGACGCCCAAGAAGGCGGCGACGAUCUGGGACUGAGGUGGUUCUGCAGCGGUUCGGUUCAGGGCCAUGGAGUUGGAGGCAGCAACUUGCAACUUGCUUGAGAUGUAAAUACAUGGAUACUUCCAUGCGGCCUUGUUAGCAGGCUGUUUUGUUGUUGAAAUGUUAUCCAGGCUGAGAAUUAACAAAUUUUCUUCACAUGUCAGGGCACCAAACUGUCGAUCGUUUUAUGUUGAACGUUCGAACGUCUGCUUUGCUCGUCUUCCUCCCGCUUCACUGCUUCUUCUCUUAAGCAACAACUGUAGCAGAGUCACCAUAGCAGUUCGAUCGCCAUAAUAACC
rnacentral:rRNA from 1 species